rnacentral:misc_RNA from 1 species
GUGAAUCAUCAAAUCUUUGAACGCAAAUUGCACUCUCUUGUAUUCCGGAGAGUAUUCCUGUUUGAGGGUCUGUUUAAAUAAAAUUCGGUGUGGUUGCUGCCUUUCUUGGUGACGCAUCGGAUUUUGGUCGUCUUUCCUUCGGUUAAGUGACCUUAAAUUUUUCAUGAUUUUUUUCUAAAGUAUUUAAAUGUUUUUACGUUCGUUUGCGAUAUCGAAUACUAGUUGUUGUCAUCCUCCU